AUACGUAGGGGGCGAGCGUUAUCCGGAUUUAUUGGGCGUAAAGCGUGUGUAGGCGGUUUAUUAAGUCCGAGAUGAAAGGCUAUGGCUUAACCAUAGUUUGUUUCGGAAACUGGUAGACUAGAGUGCAGUAGAGGCAAAUGGAAUUCAUAGUGUAGCGGUGGAAUGCGUAGAUAUUAUGAGGAACAUCAGUGGCGAAGGCGAUUUGCUGGGCUGUUACUGACGCUGAGACACGAAAGCGUGGGGAGC
rnacentral:rRNA from 1 species